rnacentral:rRNA from 1 species
AGCGUACACGGUGGAUGCCCUGGCAGUCAGAGGCGAUGAAGGACGUGCUAAUCUGCGAUAAGCGUCGGUAAGGUGAUAUGAACCGUUAUAACCGGCGAUUUCCGAAUGGGGAAACCCAGUGUGUUUCGACACACUAUCAUUAACUGAAUCCAUAGGUUAAUGAGGCGAACCGGGGGAACUGAAACAUCUAAGUACCCCGAGGAAAAGAAAUCAACCGAGAUUCCCCCAGUAGCGGCGAGCGAACGGGGAGCAGCCCAGAGCCUGAAUCAGUGUGUGUGUUAGUGGAAGCGUCUGGAAAGGCGCGCGAUACAGGGUGACAGCCCCGUACACAAAAAUGCACAUGCUGUGAGCUCGAUGAGUAGGGCGGGACACGUGGUAUCCUGUCUGAAUAUGGGGGGACCAUCCUCCAAGGCUAAAUACUCCUGACUGACCGAUAGUGAACCAGUACCGUGAGGGAAAGGCGAAAAGAACCCCGGCGAGGGGAGUGAAAAAGAACCUGAAACCGUGUACGUACAAGCAGUGGGAGCACGCUUAGGCGUGUGACUGCGUACCUUUUGUAUAAUGGGUCAGCGACUUAUAUUCUGUAGCAAGGUUAACCGAAUAGGGGAGCCGAAGGGAAACCGAGUCUUAACUGGGCGUUAAGUUGCAGGGUAUAGACCCGAAACCCGGUGAUCUAGCCAUGGGCAGGUUGAAGGUUGGGUAACACUAACUGGAGGACCGAACCGACUAAUGUUGAAAAAUUAGCGGAUGACUUGUGGCUGGGGGUGAAAGGCCAAUCAAACCGGGAGAUAGCUGGUUCUCCCCGAAAGCUAUUUAGGUAGCGCCUCGUGAAUUCAUCUCCGGGGGUAGAGCACUGUUUCGGCAAGGGGGUCAUCCCGACUUACCAACCCGAUGCAAACUGCGAAUACCGGAGAAUGUUAUCACGGGAGACACACGGCGGGUGCUAACGUCCGUCGUGAAGAGGGAAACAACCCAGACCGCCAGCUAAGGUCCCAAAGUCAUGGUUAAGUGGGAAACGAUGUGGGAAGGCCCAGACAGCCAGGAUGUUGGCUUAGAAGCAGCCAUCAUUUAAAGAAAGCGUAAUAGCUCACUGGUCGAGUCGGCCUGCGCGGAAGAUGUAACGGGGCUAAACCAUGCACCGAAGCUGCGGCAGCGACACUAUGUGUUGUUGGGUAGGGGAGCGUUCUGUAAGCCUGUGAAGGUGUGCUGUGAGGCAUGCUGGAGGUAUCAGAAGUGCGAAUGCUGACAUAAGUAACGAUAAAGCGGGUGAAAAGCCCGCUCGCCGGAAGACCAAGGGUUCCUGUCCAACGUUAAUCGGGGCAGGGUGAGUCGACCCCUAAGGCGAGGCCGAAAGGCGUAGUCGAUGGGAAACAGGUUAAUAUUCCUGUACUUGGUGUUACUGCGAAGGGGGGACGGAGAAGGCUAUGUUGGCCGGGCGACGGUUGUCCCGGUUUAAGCGUGUAGGCUGGUUUUCCAGGCAAAUCCGGAAAAUCAAGGCUGAGGCGUGAUGACGAGGCACUACGGUGCUGAAGCAACAAAUGCCCUGCUUCCAGGAAAAGCCUCUAAGCAUCAGGUAACAUCAAAUCGUACCCCAAACCGACACAGGUGGUCAGGUAGAGAAUACCAAGGCGCUUGAGAGAACUCGGGUGAAGGAACUAGGCAAAAUGGUGCCGUAACUUCGGGAGAAGGCACGCUGAUAUGUAGGUGAGGUCCCUCGCGGAUGGAGCUGAAAUCAGUCGAAGAUACCAGCUGGCUGCAACUGUUUAUUAAAAACACAGCACUGUGCAAACACGAAAGUGGACGUAUACGGUGUGACGCCUGCCCGGUGCCGGAAGGUUAAUUGAUGGGGUCAGCGCAAGCGAAGCUCUUGAUCGAAGCCCCGGUAAACGGCGGCCGUAACUAUAACGGUCCUAAGGUAGCGAAAUUCCUUGUCGGGUAAGUUCCGACCUGCACGAAUGGCGUAAUGAUGGCCAGGCUGUCUCCACCCGAGACUCAGUGAAAUUGAACUCGCUGUGAAGAUGCAGUGUACCCGCGGCAAGACGGAAAGACCCCGUGAACCUUUACUAUAGCUUGACACUGAACAUUGAGCCUUGAUGUGUAGGAUAGGUGGGAGGCUUAGAAGUGUGGACGCCAGUCUGCAUGGAGCCGACCUUGAAAUACCACCCUUUAAUGUUUGAUGUUCUAACGUUGACCCGUAAUCCGGGUUGCGGACAGUGUCUGGUGGGUAGUUUGACUGGGGCGGUCUCCUCCUAAAGAGUAACGGAGGAGCACGAAGGUUGGCUAAUCCUGGUCGGACAUCAGGAGGUUAGUGCAAUGGCAUAAGCCAGCUUGACUGCGAGCGUGACGGCGCGAGCAGGUGCGAAAGCAGGUCAUAGUGAUCCGGUGGUUCUGAAUGGAAGGGCCAUCGCUCAACGGAUAAAAGGUACUCCGGGGAUAACAGGCUGAUACCGCCCAAGAGUUCAUAUCGACGGCGGUGUUUGGCACCUCGAUGUCGGCUCAUCACAUCCUGGGGCUGAAGUAGGUCCCAAGGGUAUGGCUGUUCGCCAUUUAAAGUGGUACGCGAGCUGGGUUUAGAACGUCGUGAGACAGUUCGGUCCCUAUCUGCCGUGGGCGCUGGAGAACUGAGGGGGGCUGCUCCUAGUACGAGAGGACCGGAGUGGACGCAUCACUGGUGUUCGGGUUGUCAUGCCAAUGGCACUGCCCGGUAGCUAAAUGCGGAAGAGAUAAGUGCUGAAAGCAUCUAAGCACGAAACUUGCCCCGAGAUGAGUUCUCCCUGACUCCUUGA